UGUAACUGAAAACUGGUAAUUUAACAUUAUAUUCAAAAAUUUGAGAACGGUAUUUGAGUAAACAUCACUUUCAGCUACGAAUAAGGGCACUGAACACGCGAAGGCACGUCCACAAUGAACUGCUCGAGGAAAGGAGUCCACUGAGCCUCACCCUGCGCUCCUUGUCGAUUUCCAGGUCCACCUCCUCCACCUUCUCCAGGUACUUGAAGUGCAGCUCCAUGAGGCGGUCCACCUUCUCGUGGUCGUUCUCCGUGAACUUGUUGAGCAGGCGCUGCCUCUGCGGGCCGUGGCAGUUGCGCAGCAUGCUCGCGAUGAUGGACACCACGUGCUCUGCCCAGCGCACGACACACACACACUGCACACGCUGCUCCCUCGACCCGUCUUGCCACCAGGCCACAACUAACUCACGUGCCUGGUCAUCACUUAUCAAGGGUCCGUGCGUGAAGUCCACGCAUGACAGAGUAACACUGACUGCAGGAGAGAGUGCAGCUACUCGGACGCUCACCGGAGCAUGAGGUUCAUGAGCUGGAGACCUUCUCCCUUGAGGAAGCGCUCCCUGUUGGGGGCGUGCAUCAGGCUGGAGCACAGGCAGUUGAACAGGUUCUCCAUCAUCUCGUUCUCCUCGCUUGAAGACGGGUCGUGGCGCUUGUAGAACUGGACACACACACACACACACACACACGCUGAUCACUUACUGUCACACCACGGGAGCACACUACUAGUCCGCUUCUGCCAUAUCAUCGUUCACUAUGCAACAAUGGGUAAAUAGAGUUGUUUGCUUGCAGCUCGCAGUUUUGAGUUUGUUACGCACCAGUGUAGCUACAACGGUACAACUUUUGGAACUGAUUGGACACAAAGUUUGGAGUUCUCUUUACAGUACCUCUGAAGGUACUUGUUCCAUUCAAUGUGUAUUCAAACUACCUUGCCUUAUCCUGCCAUUGGCCUGAGGUUCUGAUUCCAAACAAUCUCCCACUGGGAUAUCGGCCAUUUGGCCCAAAUAUUGGUACUUCUUUCACAUAUUUUAAUGCCAGGCUGAUUUUACCCUCAAAUAAACACCUCUGGCGCUUUAAAAUUACUUUUCCAGGAUUUCAAAUAAAUUUCAUGAUAUUCCCUGACUGAUUCCAGCUUCUUGAAUUUCCAGAAUGAGAAGACCCUAGUAUGGUUUCAUAAAUGGAUUUUGUGUGAACUCACAAAUUUAUGGUAUUUCAUUUAAGCAAUUCUAAAGAAAAAAUUUUACCCUUGUCAAAAACUAACUUUAGUUUCAACAAAAAGGUUCCUAAAUUUCUGAGGUUUUUCUUAGGAGGUAGCUGGGAACCUUAUCUUUCAUUCUCACUUGGCUGUGCCUAGCUGAAGUUCAGUGAAGGAUGAUCAGUUGUAUCAGCAUUUUCAAUACUUUCCAUUUUAUUCAGGGCAUUUAUACUAAGGUUCACUGUAAAUACAUCAAAAUUUAUAUUCUGUUGCCAAUUUUAUAGCUAGGUAUUUGCUAUAUAAAUUCCGCUAUCUGAAAAAAGUCAAGCAACUAUUCACAAUUAAAAAUUUGUACUCACCAUUUAAAAAUCAACAUGGCGAAUGAACUAGCAUUAAAUGCAUUUCAAGUUGCAUGAAAAGUAGUGAUGGGAUUUUCGAUACUUCGAUACCUCGAUACCUUCGAUACUUGACGGUAUCGCAAAGUAUCGAGUAUCGAAACUAUAAGUUCGAUACAAUUUUUCGAUACCGGAAUGCUUGUUCAUUUGUAUUGAAUUAAGUUUUGAGUCGCCAUCGAACAAAAUACAACUACAGUAGUACUUCGAUGAUACUUUCCCGUUUCAUACAUUUUCCCGUGUCAUACGCCGAUUAAUUUUGGUCCCGCCGAAAGUACUAUAUUUACAAUGGUUUACUUUCCUGGAACAUACACUUAUAAAAUAAUUAAUUUCCCUUUUCAUACGGUUUUACGAAGCGGAAAAUUCCUAAAAUUCACAAUUUUUUUUUGUUAUAUUCCUCCUGAUAAACUACGUUUUAAUGCUUUUAUUUUGAAAAAGUUCAUUGUUUACCUUUGCAAACGUAGAAAAAUAACUUUAUCGCACCAUAGAUAUGGAUAGUAUCAGGAAGACUGUGCACUUCGAUAGUAGCAUCUAUGGCCAGCACCAAGCGAGACUAGUGGCGCAAACUAGCAAUGAUUAUGAAAAUGGUGCACGCGCUUUACCAAGGCACGGAACUCAUAUUUUGUGCACUCAUUAAUCUUUGAACUGAAUGUACCCGUCGUCCCGUUUGUUAUUGUUUUCUUCCGAUCGGAUUGUUUUGUAUUUUACGUUUCUCACGUUAAAAUUUUAUUUAAAAUUGUUAUGUUGCAUUAAGUUGUUUGUAAAAUGAAACAAACAAGAAAAAAUUUCUGAUUUUCUUUUUAUUUACAUUUGUUCGUGGUAAAAAAAAAAGUGUACUGGAAAAGUGUUCUUGAAGAUAGUUUGUAUUUCACUUCUAUUUUUUAUACUCAAGUAUUUAAAGUUGUUUGCAGUUUGUAUUUUUGUAAUAAAGAGGGAAUUUAUAUAGUUUAAAACUAAUUUAUGUUAUUUGUAAUAUUUGUUACUUAAUGGGAAAAUAUUUUUCCCUGGAGUAUCGAAAGUAUCGAAGUAUCGAAAGUAUCGAAUUGAAAAAACAAUACAGAAUCGAGUAUCGAAAGUGUGGUAUCGUCCCACCUCUAAUGAAAAGUGAUAUUAGUGAUUUUUGUUCAAAUCUACAGGUAUGCAAAUGAUCAUAUUUUCAAACUCAAAAUGAAUAAAAAAAUUGUUCAGUUCGGGUUCAUCUUGCUAAAGUUAAGUUCAAACUUGAAAGCAGUAAUCUUUAAACAUCGUGCUGUCGUCAUAAUAUCUAAUUACAUAAUGCAAACAUUCUAUGAUCUAAAACCAAAUCAAAAUAUAAAGUGUGAAAAUCCAUCAAUGAUUUCAAAUACAGUAGAACCUCUGUAAGCCGAACUCGAAGGGAGACGCCAAAAAAUUAGAGUUAUAGAGAUUUCGACUUAUGGAGGGUUUCGACUUAAGCGGAUUUUGAUUCGACAUAAAGAGGUUGAGAUUUAUUCUUACACAUACAUUUUGAGUUAGAGAGGUAAAAUAAAUAAAAAUUCAAGUUGCAGAGGUGACAAACAUAUUUUUAUUUAUUAUAAAUCAACAUUAUUUCAAAACAUCCCUAAAAUAAAAAAAUAUGGCAUUAAAAAAGGGCAGUAAUUUUUUUUUUUGCUUUAAAUAAUUCGGUUGUUCUCUAUCUAUAGCAUUGUCUAAGGUAUAAAGAGCAGAAAAUUCUUGUUCUUCGGAGUUGCUGGUUUGCUCUAUAAAAUUCCAUAAAGUAUUCAAUGCGGUUCUUGCCUCUUUGAUGGAAACCCAUGGAGCGCAUGUAGUAUUGUUCUAGUCUUCUAUGUCAUCUAAAUCAUUAGUAUUGGUUUUCUGAGCUACUGAAUCAAUAAUUUCGUCAUCAGAUAAUGUCCCAGCAGUCAACUCCAUCAUCGCACUUAACAAAGUCCUCAAAGGAUAUUCCUGUUUCAGAGCACUUCCAAUUUUUCAGUGAAACUCAAAAUUUUCAGUUUACGUUUCACAGCACUCAUGUUUUAACAAUUUUAUUUGUAAACUGUCCUAACAGUCGACAACAAAUGGCUUGCUUCGCUUAAGUUCAAAUGAAAUCAAAAAUAAUAAAAUUAAACACCUGACACUAAGCAAGCAAACACAUGAGUCAUAAAUUCGUGGUAAUCCUAUUUAUUGUGUACUCCUAAAUUUACUUCUAAGAAACAAUGGUGUACUUACAUUGUCGACAAAUUCUUAAAGUUGGUAACUUAUUUUUCUUCGAACUAUAGAGGUAAUAAGUUUCAAAUAAUCGAGUUGUAAAGGUUGUAAAAUAAAACAUUUCUAUGUUCAAAAUACAGAGGUCCAAUUUAAUUUUUCGAGUUAUGGAGGGAAAAUCUGUACCAAAAUGGCUUGGAGGGACUCACUGAUUAUUUUGACUAAUAGAGGGUUGAGAUUUCGAGCAACGGAGGCUUUGGGGCUUGAAUGGAAGGGAACACAACAUUUUUUCGAGUUUGGGAGGUUUUCGACUUAUCGAGGUUCGACUUAAAGAGGUUCUACUGUAUUAUGAUAGCAUGUUGAUGAAAUAUUGCCAAGUCGUUUCAGUAGCAAACUCAUGUUAUUUGAGGAUUGAAAUUGUUAAAAAAAAAUUAAGAGGGUUUUUUUAAUGUAAAAACCUUUUUAGUUAUGUAUUUUUAUCUUAUUUUAGGUCAUGAUGAAUGUUAGAAAUAUCACCAAAAAAAAAGCAUCCCAAAUUUUACACUAUUAUCAACACCAAUACUGUAUGCAGACACCAUGGCACGCCAUGGCAGUACAUUCAGAUCUCAACAGAACAAGUCAACACUUAGUUAAUUUAGUACAGGACAAAGUGCGCGUGUGUUACAUAAGCUUUCAAGCAAUUGUGUAAGCCCACAUUUUGUACUGUGUCACCUAAAUUAUGAAAACACAUUAAAAGGUGCACUAGCUUUAGCAAUUAAAAAGAAUGGAAAUAUCUAUAAAAACAGUUUGCAGAUUCCACACUUAAAGUUUCAUAUACUUUGUUGCUUCUUUUAAAAAUUGACAGUUUAAUAACAAUAAAACUAUAAAGGUUAGGCUAGUCUAGCAAUUAUAAGUAAAAGAUAGGUUGAGGUGAAUAGAUUAUCAAAGAGUUCAGUUCAGGUUUGAGUUUGGGGAACUUGAAAAGAAAAAGUAUUUGCACACUCCUAUAAUUGUUACAGGCAGACAUCUGUGCACGUGAGUCACCUCCUACUUGUAUUUACCAAUACUCUAAACCCAGAAUUAGUCUGAUUGAGAUGGGUGUUUGUGAAGUUAUUAUUUAGGCUAAAUAAUAAAAUUAUAUUAGCUGUUUCACUAUACCCUGUACUCUUUAAGUAUUUUGUUGCAUAAUAAACACAAAUAAAAAUUGCAACUACAAUUACACACAUGGGUUGGAAUAAGAGAAGAAA